CUGUUGAUCCUGCCAGUAGUCAUAUGCUUGUCUCAAAGAUUAAGCCAUGCAUGUCUAAGUAUAAACAAGUUUGUACUGUGAAACUGCGAAUGGCUCAUUAAAUCAGUUAUAGUUUAUUUGAUGGUGACUUUCUACAUGGAUAACUGUGGAAAACUAGAGCUAAUACAUGCAACUAAAGCCCCGACUUCUGGGAGGGGUGUAUUUAUUAGAUAAAAAACCAACGCGGCUCGCCGCUCGUUUGGUGAUUCAUAAUAACUUUUCGAAUCGCAUGGCCUUGUGCUGGCGAUGCUUCAUUCAAAUAUCUGCCCUAUCAACUUUCGAUGGUAGGAUAGUGGCCUACCAUGGUUUCAACGGGUAACGGGGAAUAAGGGUUCGAUUCCGGAGAGGGAGCCUGAGAAACGGCUACCACAUCCAUGGAAGGCAGCAGGCGCGCAAAUUACCCAAUCCCGACACGGGGAGGUAGUGACAAUAAAUAACGAUAUAGGGCUCUUUAGGGUCUUAUAAUUGGAAUGAGUACAAUUCAAAUCUCUUAACGAGGAACAAUUGGAGGGCAAGUCUGGU
rnacentral:rRNA from 1 species